CACACACACACACACACACACACACACACACACACACACACACACACACACACACACACACACACACACACACACACACACACAUGGGAGUGUUGAGAGCUGGCAGUUUAGUGAAGUGUGUCUUCUGUGAUUUGACAGAGUUGUCCCCAGCUCUUGUUCUCUGUAUCUCUCCUCCC